rnacentral:rRNA from 1 species
UACGGAGGGUGCAAACGUUGCUCGGAAUCAUUGGGCGUAAAGCGCACGUAGGUGGUCUGGCAAGUCGGGUGUGAAAGCCCUCGGCUUAACCGAGGAAGUGCACUCGAAACUACCAGACUUGAAUACUGGAGGGGGUCGCGGAAUUCCCGGUGUAGAGGUGAAAUUCGUAGAUAUCGGGAGGAACACCAGCGGCGAAGGCGGCGACCUGGACAGAUAUUGACACUGAGGUGCGAAAGCGUGGGGAGCAAACAGG